rnacentral:rRNA from 1 species
GAUGAACGCUAGCGGCAGGCUUAAUACAUGCAAGUCGAGGGGCAGCAUGAGUGUAGCAAUACAUUUGAUGGCGACCGGCAAACGGGUGCGGAACACGUACACAACCUUCCUAUAAGUGGGGAAUAGCCCAGAGAAAUUUGGAUUAAUACCCCGUAACAUAAUGAUGUGGCAUCACAUUAUUAUUAUAGCUUCGGCGCUUAUUGAUGGGUGUGCGGCUGAUUAGAUAGUUGGCGGGUAACGGCCCACCAAGUCUACGAUCAGUAGCUGAUGUGAGAGCAUGAUCAGCCACACGGGCACUGAGACACGGGCCCGACUCCCUACGGGAGGCAGCAGUAAGGAAUAUUGGUCAAUGGACGCAAGUCUGAACCAGCCAUGCCGCGUGAAGGA